CUUGCGGUCCUGUGAUGUUGCUUCAGCGAUUGAAGUUUGUUUGGGGCGGAUCAGGACUGCGUAAAGUAAAUGAAGGAAGCUAAGGCGUGGCUACUUGAGUUCCUGUAGUUACACGUGCGAUGUUCUUUCCACAAUAACCUUCACGGCCUGUUUCCGUGGUGGUGGCGAACUGUUGUGUACGUCACCUAUCGAAAAACAGGCGUACUAAAGAU